AACUUCAUCCUUUGAAAAUCUAUCAUUGCUUCUCAUCUUUCCCACAUCUACAAUAUAGCUGCAGUCAGCAUUUUUCUUUGCCAAAGAUACAAUAUUUUACUUUGAAAAUUUUUGAGCUGGUUUAACUCUUAUUUAUUUAGGCACAGUAGGUUGUGCAAUGUUAAUUAAGACAGAUCCACUUGGUUGGCAUUCUUGCUAACUCAGGUAGCCUUUGCCUAACAAACAUCACCUUUGGGAUCAAAUUUAGUCCAUGAAUCUGACCCAAAUUGUAUCAGCUCUCUUAGGAUCUUUUUUAACUAUGAAAUGGACAUAAUUUACCAUAAAUGCCAUGUAGCCAACAGAGAAACCUAAUAAAUAAAACAUGUGAUCUUUGUUAUAAGAAGAAAAAAGACUUAUAUCAAUGUCAAUUAAAAGGGAUAUGCAUGUUAACAAAGUCUCACUUACAACUACUUUAUCUAUG
rnacentral:lncRNA from 1 species